CUGACACCUGCGUGGUUCCCAACACACAAAAGAAAACAGCGUCAUUCAGGAGCCGCCGUACACCGAGGCAGCAGUGGCGAAAAAAAGUGCGAUAGGCACUGCCUGAUCCACCACCAACGCCACAUCUCUACCCGGAACCGGGUGUAAAUCUUCACUCCAAGAACGGGGGGAAAAAUGCCGCCGAAGACGGCGACAGCCGCGGCAGGCGGCCAGCAGAGGGAGAAGGGCAAGAAGGAUGGAGCUGCAGCCGCUGACCCGGUCAAGGAGCUGCGCAACAUGGAGGACAUCCACGAGGUUCUAGCCAAGGCGCAGCAGCUGCGCAACUACUUUCAGGCAGAGCGCGAUAAGGUGAACGGCAUGUGGGACAUCACCAAAAAGGAGCUCGAGAAUGAGCAGUUCAGCCUGCAGAACGCCGAAAGCGAGCUGGAGGAGUUGGAACGCGAGCAUCAAGUGGAGAUGAAGGUCUACCAGCAGAAGGUGCGCCAUCUCCUGUACGACCAGAAGGUUGCCGUGAAGCAACUGCGCGACGAGAGCGACGCGGCACUGCGGCAGGCUGAGGCGGCGCACACCCAGCGGAUGCAUCAACUAGAGGUGGAACGGCAACGGCGCAUGACUGGUAUGCAGUCCGCUCGUGAGGCCCAGGAAAGUCGAAUCGUAGAUCAGCGCGAUGGUCACCAGUACAUGCUGACGGUCACGAAGCGUCGCAACCACGAGAAGGAGCUGGCGCGAUUGCAGGCCUCGUACGAGGCGAAGCUGAGCACGCUGCGCGAGGACCUGGAACUGCGACGCCGAGCCGAGGUCCAGGAUGCGGAAGAGCGAUACAACCUCCACAUCAACCACCUUAUCCAGCAGCACGAGGACAAGUUCAAUGAGAUGAAGGCCUACUACAACCACAUCACGCACAACAACCUUGAAAUAAUCCAGUCCCUUAAGGACGAGAUUGCCACCAUGAAGAAAAACGACGAGCACAACGAGGGCCUGAUGUUCGAGAUCGAGAAGGAAAACGAGAACCUCGUAGCACCGCUGGAGCAGUUAGAGAAGGAGGUGGCGGAGCUUCAGGUCAAGAAGCAGCAGCACAUUCAGGACAAGCAAAGCUUGCGUAGCUUCCGCACCCGAUACAAGUUGCUUCAGCAACAGCUGUGCGCGCUGCGGCAGGAGAAGGAGAUGCUGGAGGAUCAGUACAAGAACGUCUAUGACGAGCGCGAGGACCUGCGCGCGAAGUUCGAGUCCGCCUUGCGGGAGGCAAUGGAUGUCGUCGCUGAUCGCAACAACUCGCUGCAGCAGAACCUGAUCGAGGCGCACGCGCGGCUGGAGCAGCGCGACGCACAGCUGGAGGGUGUGCUGCGUGCCAUGGGCCUGGAGCCGGCCGCGAUGGAGCUGAUAUCGAACGAGAUUGACGCCGAGGUGCAGACGAAGAAUCAAGUCAUCAAGGACCUGCACUUCGAGAUGCGCCGACUGGAGAAGAAGGUGAACGCCAUGGUCGAGGAGUACGAGCGCCGCUGCCGUGCCGUUGGCGUACCACCGCUCGACCGUGCAAGCGUCAUGCAGGUGUAAAGACGAGAAGAGGGCGAAUGGAAAAAUACGAAAGGGGAACCGCUGAAGGAUCGCGCCUUCGUUAGGCGACCACCCUGUACUCGUCCGUUGCUUUCUCCAUGACCUCGUUUCCCGGCAACGGUGUUCUCCGAGGGCUGUGUGCGUAUAGGCAGGUCGUGUGAGGCUGCCGCCCUACUCCCACCUGCUCUCUGCAUGCCUGCUGGUGCUUCAGCGAUUCCGGCAUCACGGGCUCGCAGCUUCAUCUUCUCGUCUUCUCCUUCUUUGCCCUUUCGGUGCACAGUGUGCGUCCCUCCCGCUCUCUCUCUCUGGUUUCUUUCUGUUCUUUUUUCGUCCCCGCUUUGUUGCUGCGUGGGACUGACAACUCUGGCGCUUGUGUGUGCGGUCUGCCAUGAGGGACGUCUGAUGGUCUGUGGUUG
rnacentral:misc_RNA from 1 species